rnacentral:rRNA from 1 species
GAUGAACGCUGGCGGCGUGCCUAAUACAUGCAAGUCGAGCGAACAGACGAGGAGCUUGCUCCUCUGACGUUAGCGGCGGACGGGUGAGUAACACGUGGAUAACCUACCUAUAAGACUGGGAUAACUUCGGGAAACCGGAGCUAAUACCGGAUAAUAUAUUGAACCGCAUGGUUCAAUAGUGAAAGACGGUUUUGCUGUCACUUAUAGAUGGAUCCGCGCCGCAUUAGCUAGUUGGUAAGGUAACGGCUUACCAAGGCAACGAUGCGUAGCCGACCUGAGAGGGUGAUCGGCCACACUGGAACUGAGACACGGUCCAGACUCCUACGGGAGGAAGCAGUAGGGAAUCUUCCGCAAUGGGGGAAAGCUUGACGGAGCAACGCCGCGUGAGUGAUGAAGGUCUUCGGAUCGUAAAACUCUGUUAUUAGGGAAGAACAAAUGUGUAAGUAACUAUGCACGUCUUGACGGUACCUAAUCAGAAAGCCACGGCUAACUACGUG